UUAACGCCAAGAUCUCCAGGGCUUUUUAACCAGGAAGAAAGACUGAUCCCUCCACAACCAAAGAACCCCAGGACCAUAAGAAAAGUUCCAUUAUUCCAAGUGUUGCAUCAUAAAGAUUCUCCUCAAACAUCCUCCUGCCCAGUCCAAAUAACACCAACACAUCCACCCCCAAAGGGAGGAAGGUAAAGAACUGGAAAAUCCACACCAAGUUUUCCUACAAGCAAUUACCAGUUCUAAAUCCCUACUGAUAACAGCAGCAAAAAGAGCUUAAAAACCCAAAUAAAAGGAAACUGUUG